rnacentral:tRNA from 1 species
GCUUUCGUGGUGUAAUGGCCAGCACACUUGGCGCGUAUCUAAAGAUCCGAGGUUCGAGUCCCGGCGAGGGCA